rnacentral:rRNA from 1 species
CAGUCGCCACGGGAAUACGUAGGGUGCAAGCGUUAAUCGGAAUUACUGGGCGUAAAGCGUGCGCAGGCGGUGUUGUAAGACUGAUGUGAAAUCCCCGGGCUCAACCUGGGAACUGCAUUUGUGACUGUAUAGCUAGAGUACGGCAGAGGGGGAUGGAAUUCCGCGUGUAGCAGUGAAAUGCGUAGAUAUGCGGAGGAACACCGAUGGCGAAGGCAAUCCCCUGGGCCUGUACUGACGCUCAUGCACGAAAGCGUGGGGAGCAAACAGGAUUAGAUACCCCAGUAGUCCCUGUCUCUUAUAC